GACGAACGCUGGCGGCGUGCUUAACACAUGCAAGUCGAACGGAAAGGCCCUGCUUUUGUGGGGUGCUCGAGUGGCGAACGGGUGGGUAACACGUGAGUAACCUGCCCUUGACUUUGGGAUAACUUCAGGAAACUGGGGCUAAUACCGGAUAGGAGCUCCUGCUGCAUGGUGGGGGUUGGAAAGUUUCGGCGGUUGGGGAUGGACUCGCGGCUUAUCAGCUUGUUGGUGGGGUAGUGGCUUACCAAGGCUUUGACGGGUAGCCGGCCUGAGAGGGUGACCGGCCACAAUGGGACGUGGGAAGCGCCCCGGACCCCACGGGGGGGAGCAGGGGGGAAAUAUGGCCAAUGGGGGGGAGGCCGAAGGCGGAACCGCCGGGGGGGGGAGGAGGCCCUUGGGGUUUAAACCCGUUUUGCCCGGGAACAAGGGGGGGGGAAGGGUAAUGGGAAAAAAACCCCGGGCAAACUAGGU
rnacentral:rRNA from 1 species